AACUUUAGUCGGCCUAUAAAAAAAAGAAGAAAUUGCAUGUGGAAUGGAAUCCAUGUGAUCUCCAUCCCAUCUCAUGUAGAUUUUCAAAGAAAUCGACUGAUUAGUAUCGAUUAACGCGUUGAAGAAAGUGAGAGAUAGAGAUAGAGAGAACUUUCAAUUUCCUCCUUUAUGGAGACAUGAAAAUUUUGAUGGCCAGGAUCGAUAAUCAGCUUCGACGUGGGUGUGGCCCGGAUCAGCUAAUUUAUGAGGAUCAUGAUCGAUUGGUCAAUUUGUAAAUUAUAGAGGAGGUACACCCAGUUGGGUAAAUUUAUGAAAAGGGUGAAAAAAAGAGUGCAAUGUGAAGAAUGUUGAAGCAGAGGAAAACGCAAAUAUGGCAGACAGGAAGGAGCCAGGCAGUAGCGGUAACUAAGCAAGAAAAACAAGAAGAAGAAGGAAAACAGGAAGAAAUUAGGGUCAGAAACGUACGGCUGAGAUCGAUGCAAGAUGGUCUUAAUUAAGAUGAAUCUAGCUAAUUGGGAUGGUAUGUAUUUCUUUUGUUAAUUAAUUUUGUUGUUGGCUUAAUUUAUAUAAUAAUUUGAAAUACGAUUAUCAUGAAUUGAAUCGGGGUUAUCUUGUGGUUGGGUUGGAGACGACACAUAGCGUAAGAAGGAUAAAGGAAAAAAGAAAAAAAAAGUUUUGGAAUUGAAUAAUUUUGAGGAUCGGAUCAAUUCCACAACACAAAUUCCUUCUUGCGUGGAUUAUGAUCCAAGCAAUAUUAUUUCUACCUUUUUUUCUCGUCGAGAGUGAAUGAUUUGUCAGAACCAAAAA